ACACUGCUGAGGAGCCCCACAAUAGGACGAAACGACCGUCCAGUGA
rnacentral:hammerhead_ribozyme from 1 species